GUUGAGUGAUGGCUACAGUAUGUGACAGGCGCCCCAAAGCGGCUUUGUUAUGUGUUCUAGCUGCGUUCAUAAAAAUCAUAAAAAGGAAGAAAUGCAGACGAAAAACAUGGAUGAAACAGUUGCUCAUAGACGAAAACAAAGGGAGAAAGAUGGUGAGGCCGGCGGCAAGCAGGGACAAGGCGCAGAACACAGCGGACGGCGCCCACACUAUUACUUCUCCCUGAAAUUAAAUAAGGAGAGAAGACGCCUCCUAUCCUGGCGCAGAGGCUGGCCUGUGAGGUAGCGAGGGAGCGGUAAUUGGUGGGAAACAGCUCCACUGUGAACACCCAAAGCAAGUGGAAACCCAUCGUGAUGGCCACCUUCCCGCUUA